AACGAACGCUGGCGGCAUGCCUAACACAUGCAAGUCGAGCGCCUGUAGCAAUACAGGAGCGGCGCACGGGUGAGUAACGCGUGGGAACCUGCCCUUAGGUUCGGAACAACCGCGGGAAACUGCGGCUGAUACCGGAUGAUGUCUUCGGACCAAAGAUUUAUCGCCUUUGGAGGGGCCCGCGUCGGAUUGGGUAGUUGGUGAGGUAACGGCUCACCAAGCCUGCGAUCCGUAGCUGGUCUGAGAGGAUGACCAGCCACACUGGGACUGAGACACGGCCCAGACUCCUACGGGAGGCAGCAGUGGGGAGUAUUGGACAAUGGGGGCAACCCUGAUCCAGCAAUGCCGCGUGGGUGAUGAAGGCCUUCGGGUUGUAAAGCCCUUUCGGCGGGGACGAUGAUGACGGUACCCGCAGAAGAAGCCCCGGCUAACUUCGUGCCAGCAGCCGCCGUAAAAC
rnacentral:rRNA from 1 species